GACGAACGCUGGCGGCGUGCUUAACACAUGCAAGUCGAACGAUGAAGCGCUGUCUUUUUGGUGGUGUGGAUUAGUGGCGAACGGGUGAGUAAUACGCGGGCAACCUGCCCCUCUGCUUCGGGAUAAGCUUUGGAAACGGGGUCUAAUACCGGAUGUGCCUGUCUGGUCGCAUGGCUGGGCGGGGAAAGAUGUUUUUCGGCGGGGGAUUGGCUCGCGGCCUAUCAGCUUGUUGGUGGGGUGACGGCCUACCAAGGCGUCGACGGGUAGCCGGCCUGAGAGGGUGGUCGGGCACCUUGGACUGAGAUACGGCCCAGACUCCCACCGGAGGAGGCGUGGGGAAUUGCACAAUGGGCGAAGCCUGAUGCAUCGACCCCCGUGGGGGGAUGAGGCUUUCGGGUUUUAAACCCCUUUUGGGGCGGGAAAGGCUCCGUUUUGGGGGGUUGAGGGCCCCGUCAAAGAGGCCCGGCUUCUUCGUGCCAGCAGCCGCGGUAAAACGUAGGGGGGGGAGGGGUUUCCCGAAAUAUUUGGGCGUAAAGGGGUUCGCAGGCGGCUUUUCCGCGCCGGCUGUGAAAAACCCGGGGCUUCAACUCCCCCCUUGCAAUGGGUACGGGCAAGGCUGGAUUCGGCAGGGGGUUGCUUGGAAUUCUUGGGUAGCGGUGGGGAUGGCCAGAUAUCAGGAAGAACACCGAUGGCGAAGGCGGCCCACUUGGCCGCACUUGACCCUUAGAACGAAAGCUGGGGGAGCGAACAGAAUUAAAAACCUGGGAGUCAAGGGGGGAAUUCCCCAAUGGGUUGCACCCCGGGGGAUCCACUAAUUUUAGAGGGGGCCCACCGCGGGGAGUCCAAUUUCCCCCAUAGGGGGGUCGAUUACCCGCCCCUCCCUGGCGCCGAUUUACGAAA
rnacentral:rRNA from 1 species